CCAUGUCUCUGUCUCACGCAUUUCCUUUGUGUGUCAGAUACACAUUUAUAGAAUUAGCACGAUUAAGUACAGGCAGUAAAAACUGCAGGAACAAGCUUUUACAGUGCAUGCCUACGAGUGCACAUUAUUGUUUAUGCAGUCUGCAGAGUCCUGUAUGCCACAGUACAAUAUUAUCUUUUUUGCAGAUACCUGGACCUGUCCCUAACAUUUUGAUAAUUGUAAUUGUCUCUUGGCUAUUCAUUUAUUUACGUAGUUAUUUAUUUUCUUCUCUUUUGAAAAUUGCAGAUGUUUUGUGUUCAUUUUAAUUGAUUUUACUCUACUAUGACAAAGAAGGGAAGCCACACAAAGUCCACUGAAAAUAAUAUAGAUUUAAUAAAGAAAGAACACCAAUGCCUGCUUAAUGGUCUCCCACUGCAACUUCCUCAGGUGUUCUGCAUUUGUAAUCAGGCUGCAGCUCCACCCCCACAGGCUCCUGCAACACAGGGAAUGACAUCCUCCCAACACACAACCUGAACCUGCUUUAGAGGCUGUGGCACUAGAAACAGGAAGUGCUAGCUUAGCUUUGGCCAGCUUUGGAUGUGAGUGACUCUACUAUUAUAUGGUGCCACCAGACAUAGUGUUUACCCGGGAAAUGCUGUCUCCCCUGGCUCUGACUGGGAAGACCUGCUGUGUGAAGAUAAUGAAACACCAAGCUGCGGCGCUGAGAGUUAAAGACGGAGACAAACAGACAAACCAAGGCCGGAUGCUCCCACCACCAUGAUUUACAGUAAGUACAGGGUGAUAAGCUACAUGUCGUCUGAUUAUGGCUUCUGUUUUUCAAUACCUUUCAAAGGCCAGACAAAUGAAGAAGUUAAGUAAU